rnacentral:rRNA from 1 species
AUUGAACGCUGGCGGCAUGCCUUACACAUGCAAGUCGAACGGCAGCACGGGAGCUUGCUCCUGGUGGCGAGUGGCGAACGGGUGAGUAAUACAUCGGAACGUACCCUGAAGUGGGGGAUAACGUAGCGAAAGUUACGCUAAUACCGCAUAUUCUGUGAGCAGGAAAGAGGGGGAUCGCAAGACCUCUUGCUUUAGGAGCGGCCGAUGUCGGAUUAGCUAGUUGGUGAGGUAAAGGCUCACCAAGGCGACGAUCCGUAGCGGGUCUGAGAGGAUGAUCCGCCACACUGGGACUGAGACACGGCCCAGACUCCUACGGGAGGCAGCAGUGGGAAUUUUGGACAAUGGGCGCAAGCCUGAUCCAGCCAUGCCGCGUGAGUGAAGAAGGCCU